AUUGAACGCUGGCGGCAUGCUUUACACAUGCAAGUCGAACGGUAACAGGCCGCAAGGUGCUGACGAGUGGCGAACGGGUGAGUAAUGCAUCGGAACGUGCCCAGUCGUGGGGGAUAACGCAGCGAAAGCUGCGCUAAUACCGCAUACGAUCUAUGGAUGAAAGCGGGGGACCGUAAGGCCUCGCGCGAUUGGAGCGGCCGAUGUCAGAUUAGGUAGUUGGUGAGGUAAGGGCUCACCAAGCCAACGAUCUGUAGCUGGUCUGAGAGGACGACCAGCCACACUGGGACUGAGGCACGGCCCAGACUCCUACGGGAGGCAGCAGUGGGGAAUUUUGGACAAUGGGCGCAAGCCUGAUCCAGCAAUGCCGCGUGCAGGAAGAAGGCCUUCGGGUUGUAAACUGCUUUUGUACGGAACGAAACGGCUCUCACUAAUACUGGGGGCUAAUGACGGUACCGUAAGAAUAAGCACCGGCUAACUACGUGCCAGCAGCCGCCGUAA
rnacentral:rRNA from 1 species